rnacentral:lncRNA from 1 species
AAAACACAUUGCCGCCCUCCCUCUAUAUCUUUUAGAAAAUAUUAUGAUUGUCUGUUGUGUGUUUCUGAUUGUCUUCUGUAAUUAUGAUGAUUAAUGUGUUAAUUCUGGCACUCUUUUUGUCAAGAAUCGAAGCAUCGACACGAGAUUUCGUCACCAUUUUCGUUUGGAUCUUGUUCCAUUCUGCUGUCAGUCAACGAUGCUAGCAAAAAUGGAGCUGAAAAGCCAGACUACGCUGUGGAUUUAAAUGCCAAGAUUUUCGAUUUUGUGCUUAAGGAGACCCACACCACUUAUGCCAUUGUUGAAUUUUUUGCCCACUGGUCAGUUACUUUUUCUCUUUUCUUGUUUUUUCUUUAAAGAAUCCAUUUUUGUAAUUUGAU